rnacentral:lncRNA from 9 species
GGGCGCGUCCCGGGGGUCACGUGGUGCGCAGCACGCAGAGCCCUUCUGUCGGUUGGUCCUGGAGCGGCGCAGCCGGAGCGGGGCUGUGAGGAGAAUAAAGGCAGCCCCGUUGAUGACUGAAAAUGACAAAGCAUCCACCUAACAGACGAGGAAUCAGCUUUGAAGUGGGAGCCCAGUUGGAAGCCCGGGACCGAUUAAAAAACUGGUAUCCAGCUCACAUAGAAGAUAUUGACUACGAAGAAGGAAAAGUACUCAUUCAUUUCAAGCGUUGGAACCAUCGUUAUGAUGAGUGGUUCUGCUGGGACAGUCCUUAUUUACGUCCUUUAGAGAAAAUACAGCUGAGGAAAGAGGGCUUACAUGCAGAGGAAGGAUCUUCUGAAUUUCAAAUAAACGAGCAGGUUCUCGCCUGUUGGUCUGAUUGUCGUUUUUACCCAGCCAAAGUCACUGCUGUUAACAAGGAUGGUACUUACACUGUGAAAUUUUAUGAUGGAGUAGUUCAAACUGUCAAACAUAUUCAUGUCAAAGCUUUUUCCAAAGAUCAGAAUAUUGUGGGUAAUGCUAGGCCUAAAGAAACAGAACACAAAAGUCUUUCAUCAUCUCCUGAUAAACGAGAGAAGUUUAAAGAGCAGAGAAAAGCGACAGCUAAUGUGAAGAAAGACAAAGAGGACAAAGCCUUGAAGACAGAAAAGCAACCUAAGCAGCCUGAUAAAGAAGGAAAGUUAAUCUGUUCUGAAAAGGGGAAGGUGUCAGAGAAGAACCUUCCUAAGAACGAGAAGGAAGAUAAGGAGAACAUUUCAGAAAAUGACAGAGAGUAUUCUGGAGAUGCUCAAGUGGAUAAGAAACCUGAAAAUGACAUUGUGAAGAGUCCACAAGAAAACUUGAGGGAGCCAAAAAGAAAACGAGGCAGACCCCCUUCCAUAGCUCCUACUGCUGUGGAUUCAAACAGUCAAACUUUGCAACCAAUAACGUUGGAACUGAGAAGACGGAAAAUAUCAAAAGGAAGUGAAGUCCCCAUAAAACGUCCUCGGCUUGACAAAAAUUCAUCCCAGGAAAAGUCAAAAAACUACUCGGAAAACACUGACAAAGACUUAUCAAGGAGACGGUCCUCCAGGCUGUCCACUAAUGGGACCCAUGAGAUCCUAGACCCUGACUUGGUUGUAUCAGAUUUGGUUGAUACGAUUAAUACCGAUACUUUGCAAAACACAUCAACCGGUACCAAGGAAUCUGAAAAAGUAACAAAUACUUUUAAGAAAACAGAUGAUUUUGUGACAUCUAAAGCACCAGCUGUCGACCUAGAUCACAAGUUUAGGUGCAAGGUUGCAGAUUGUUUAAAAUUUUUCCGCAAAGCCAAGCUCUUGCACUAUCACAUGAAGUAUUUCCACGGAAUGGAGAAGUCACCAGAGCCGGAGGAGAACCCAGGAAAGAGGCAUGUCCAGACAAGGGGCUCUUCAGCUUCAGACAAGACCAGCCAGGAGAGCCUGACCAGGAAGCGGGUCUCUGCCAGUUCCCCAACUGCAAAAGACAAGGAAAAGAAUAAAGAGAAGAAAUUCAAAGAGUUUGUGAGGGUGAAGCCAAAGAAGAAAAAGAAAAAGAAAAAGAAAACUAAGCCUGAAUGCCCCUGCAGUGAGGAGAUCAGUGACACCUCCCAGGAACCUUCUCCACCCAAGGCAUUUGCUGUCACCAGGUGUGGGUCCUCCCAUAAGCCUGGGGUCCACAUGAGCCCGCAGCUCCAUGGCUCAGAAUCUGGAAACCACAAAGGGAAAGUGAAAGUGUCUGAAGAGGAUAAUCUGAGCGAGUCCUCUUCUGAGAGCUUUCUUUGGAGCGAUGAGGAGUAUGGCCAGGACAUUGACGUGACCACCAACCCAGACGAGGAACUCGAUGGGGAUGACCGUUACGAUUUUGAAGUGGUCCGCUGCGUCUGUGAGGUUCAGGAGGAAAAUGACUUCAUGAUUCAGUGUGAAGAGUGCCAGUGCUGGCAGCAUGGGGUCUGCAUGGGAUUACUGGAAGAAAAUGUGCCUGAGAAAUACACCUGUUAUGUUUGCCAAGACCCUCCAGGUCAGAGGCCUGGUUUCAAGUACUGGUACGACAAGGAAUGGUUGAGCAGGGGACACAUGCAUGGCCUGGCAUUUUUAGAAGAGAACUACUCCCAUCAGAAUGCCAAGAAGAUUGUGGCCACUCACCAGCUUCUUGGUGAUGUGCAGAGAGUGAUCGAGGUUCUGCAUGGCCUUCAGCUCAAGAUGAGCAUCUUACAAAGCCGGGAGCAUCCUGAUCUGCAGCUGUGGUGUCAGCCUUGGAAACAGCAUCUGUUAGAGGGGAGAUUGCAUUCCAGACACAUCCAUGUCACUGAAGCCAAGAGCAGGGAGGAAGCCCCAAGCUAUAGAACUUUGAAUGGGGCAGUGGAGAAGCCUCUGCCCCUGCCCUUGCCCCGGUCAGUGGAGGAGUCGUAUAUCACCAGCGAGCACUGCUACCAGAAGCCCCGCACCUAUUACCCGGCUGUGGAACAGAAGCUGGUGGUGGAGACCCGGCGCUCCGCCCUCGAUGAUGCUGUCAGCCCGCUCCACGAGAACGGUGACGAUGCCCUCCCUCCGCGCCUGGGCUGGCCUCUAGACCAAGACAGGAGCAGAGGGGACAGUGACCCCAAAUCUGGCUCCCCAAAGGUGAGGGAAUAUGUCUCCAAAAAGGUCCUCACGGAGGAAGCCCCCACUCGGAAGCUGCUGGACAGAGGUGGAGAGGGGCUGCUGAGCUCCCAGCACCAGUGGCAGUUUAACCUGCUGACCCAUGUGGAAUCUCUUCAGGAUGAAGUCACACAUAGGAUGGACUCCAUUGAGAAGGAGCUGGAUGUGUUGGAGAGCUGGCUGGACUACACCGGGGAACUGGAGCCCCCGGAGCCUCUGGCCAGGCUUCCGCAGCUCAAGCAUUGCAUCAAGCAGCUGCUGACGGACCUGGGCAAGGUGCAGCAGAUCGCGCUCUGCUGCUCAACAUGAAACUAAGAACUAAUGGGGGGCACAAUCCUGGGGCACCUGCAGGAGGAGCUUCUCAUAUUUAAAUAAAUAAACCUAGCAUGCCGAAUGCACGUGACACCGACUGACUUCAGGGAUCCGGGCAGGGGGUGUGAUGGACAUUGGACAAAGAGGCCAUUUUGGCUACUGGAAGGGAGGGCACUCUGAUGGCAAAGCCUACCAAGAAGGUAGCAGAUAGACUCUUGGAAUUCCCUUCUUCUGUGCACAUUGUUGAAUGGAGAGUGAGUCUUUUUGCACAAUCUUCACUUGAAAUCGUGCCACUGAUGAUAAAUGGAAUGAGAGCCAAAAAAGUUUAGUCGGAAACAGUUGUAAAUUCAACUUGCAGCUUAUUUAAUUGACUUUUCUGUCAGGUUGGGGCACAUGCCAAGCCUUCUGGUUUUCUGCCUGGCAUGGAUUUAGGCAGCAGACAUCAUUUUCAUUUUUCCAGCUUCAUGGGAGUGUUGUGACGUCACCAUUCUGUGGAGGUUGGGAAGGACCAGAGGCCUUGGCUGCCCUGCCUUCUCCUUAGGACUCUUCACUUUUCUCACCACAUCUCUUUCAUGACUUCCUGGUACUGAGGACAAAUUUUGUAUGCUUUCACCCCCGAAUCAGCUGGGUCGUGUGUCUUUUGUAGCAGAGCCCGUACAGCCUGUGGAAGAACUAGAAUCUCACUGUAAGAAGAAUCUAGGAGGAAUUCCAAACUGAAGCAGGCAGGGUCUGGAACCCAAAGGGACAGCGUUUUCUACCCACUUCUUCAUAUUGACAGCUUACCAGUUCUAUUUAACGUCCAAAAAGUGGUUCCCAAAAUUUUGAACUCUUUCACUGUAAAGAUUUGAUACAGAGAAUGUGGUUUGGGGAAUUACCUUAUUUUAUAUUGUUGUAAACACACCAGAUCCUAAAUGUGCCGCUUUUCUCCUUCCCUGAGGGUAUGUGUUCAGUACCUGGCAUUUUCGGAAUUGUUUUAAUAUACUUUAACACUUUAAAUUUCCUGUUUGUAUUAUUUUGUGAGAUCAAGUUGAUUAUGCUGCUUAAGGUCCAGGUACAAUUUGUACCUUUUGAGACAAUAUUUGUUACUCUCACAGGUUACGGUUCCACAUGUAAUUGUUUUUGUUUUGUAAUUGUUUUUCCUUACCAGGCAAAGUUUAAGAAAAUGCUCAGUGCUUUGAGGAGUGACCCAUUUCACCAUUUAGUUUUCUUAUCACUGAAGGCAAAAAUCAAAGCACAGUUGUCCAUUAACACUCACGAGUUAAUUAUGGGUUUAUGAAUCUGUAAUGUUAUAUGCUGCAAAUAUUUACUAUGUAAACGAAAAGUAGCCAAUAUCUCAAUAGCAAUGACAGUAUUUCCAGCAACCUUUGGAAUGGUUAGGCUUUAAGGCACAGGUCGUUGUGGUCAUGAAGGCCUCUGUACCAAGAUUUUGUUUCAGGGAAUGCUCUGUCUAGUGAUUUAAUUCAUCAUUUGAUAUAAAAUGAAUUUAGGACAAGUUGACCUGCUGUAGCUUAUCCAUCAGAGGGAAUACAUGUGGCUAUGACGUCUAUAAUAAAGGUGACACAAUUCCUCUUCAAGGGUUGUUUCCCAUUGCUAACGUUGGUAUUUCUGGUGUGGGAGGAAAUGUUCAAGGAGUGUGCAUGACAUCUAUGUUUUGCUUAAUUUAUCAGACAGCCACAUUGUAAUAACUGUGUGAUGCUCGUCUGAAAAGGGAAGAAACAGGAUGAUUUUCGGUAGCUACAACUGUGAGGUAUGGUGACUUAAAUUAUUUGGAUUACCAUUUUUUCUUUUCUGAAAGCACAUCUGGGCAUCACCUCUGGGGAAGCUGUAACUUUAAGGUAGUCAAUCUCAUGUUUUUAUUAAAGAUGGAAGCAGAAACUGAAUUACCCUAAUUUUGCCAAGUGGCCAUUGUUGGGUUUAUUGUAUGCUUUUUGUAAAGGAAAUAAUCCCAUUUCACUCAUUGUCACUUUUGUCCUUAGGGAGGCAGAGAUGACUCCAAGUUCUGAUAAAGUGUGCUUCCCUAAUUUAAAGCCAUGUUGCGGGACUCUAUCCCCACUUCCUGGGUCAAGUUGAAUUAACCGCAAGUUGGAGCACUGGAAACUGUUAUUUGCAAAUAUUACUGUUACCAUUUAGAAAUAUGUACACUACCUAAGUUUUCUUUUGAGAAAAACCAUCCACCUAUUUAAAAAAAAAAAAAAAAUUGCCUUGACACAAGCAGUUCUGGUUUGACUAAUCAUUUUGUUUCUUUAAGUAAUGAGUGUAUGCAAGGUGGACCCUUGAUCAGCCAACAUUGCACUGUGGAUACAUAUCUGUUUACGCUAUUAGAACAGAAGGCGCUGUAUAUAGAAAUGUUGCUUUGAAGCAAUAUUUGCAAAACAUGCAAACUUCUGUAUCUGUAUUUGGAAAAAAAUAAAGCAGGUUUUUGUUGCUA